rnacentral:rRNA from 4 species
AGAGUUUGAUCAUGGCUCAGAUUGAACGCUGGCGGCAGGCCUAACACAUGCAAGUCGAGCGGUAGCACAGAGAGCUUGCUCUCGGGUGACGAGCGGCGGACGGGUGAGUAAUGUCUGGGAAACUGCCUGAUGGAGGGGGAUAACUACUGGAAACGGUAGCUAAUACCGCAUAACGUCGCAAGACCAAAGUGGGGGACCUUCGGGCCUCAUGCCAUCAGAUGUGCCCAGAUGGGAUUAGCUGGUAGGUGGGGUAACGGCUCACCUAGGCGACGAUCCCUAGCUGGUCUGAGAGGAUGACCAGCCACACUGGAACUGAGACACGGUCCAGACUCCUACGGGAGGCAGCAGUGGGGAAUAUUGCACAAUGGGCGCAAGCCUGAUGCAGCCAUGCCGCGUGUGUGAAGAAGGCCUUCGGGUUGUAAAGCACUUUCAGCGGGGAGGAAGGCGGUGAGGUUAAUAACCUCAUCGAUUGACGUUACCCGCAGAAGAAGCACCGGCUAACUCCGUGCCAGCAGCCGCGGUAAUACGGAGGGUGCAAGCGUUAAUCGGAAUUACUGGGCGUAAAGCGCACGCAGGCGGUCUGUCAAGUCGGAUGUGAAAUCCCCGGGCUCAACCUGGGAACUGCAUUCGAAACUGGCAGGCUAGAGUCUUGUAGAGGGGGGUAGAAUUCCAGGUGUAGCGGUGAAAUGCGUAGAGAUCUGGAGGAAUACCGGUGGCGAAGGCGGCCCCCUGGACAAAGACUGACGCUCAGGUGCGAAAGCGUGGGGAGCAAACAGGAUUAGAUACCCUGGUAGUCCACGCUGUAAACGAUGUCGAUUUGGAGGUUGUGCCCUUGAGGCGUGGCUUCCGGAGCUAACGCGUUAAAUCGACCGCCUGGGGAGUACGGCCGCAAGGUUAAAACUCAAAUGAAUUGACGGGGGCCCGCACAAGCGGUGGAGCAUGUGGUUUAAUUCGAUGCAACGCGAAGAACCUUACCUGGUCUUGACAUCCACAGAACUUUCCAGAGAUGGAUUGGUGCCUUCGGGAACUGUGAGACAGGUGCUGCAUGGCUGUCGUCAGCUCGUGUUGUGAAAUGUUGGGUUAAGUCCCGCAACGAGCGCAACCCUUAUCCUUUGUUGCCAGCGGUUAGGCCGGGAACUCAAAGGAGACUGCCAGUGAUAAACUGGAGGAAGGUGGGGAUGACGUCAAGUCAUCAUGGCCCUUACGACCAGGGCUACACACGUGCUACAAUGGCAUAUACAAAGAGAAGCGACCUCGCGAGAGCAAGCGGACCUCAUAAAGUAUGUCGUAGUCCGGAUUGGAGUCUGCAACUCGACUCCAUGAAGUCGGAAUCGCUAGUAAUCGUAGAUCAGAAUGCUACGGUGAAUACGUUCCCGGGCCUUGUACACACCGCCCGUCACACCAUGGGAGUGGGUUGCAAAAGAAGUAGGUAGCUUAACCUUCGGGAGGGCGCUUACCACUUUGUGAUUCAUGACUGGGGUGAAGUCGUAACAAGGUAACCGUAGGGGAACCUGCGGUUGGAUCACCU